UAAGGUCCCAAAGUCAUGGUUAAGUGGGAAACGAUGUGGGAAGGCCCAGACAGCCAGGAUGUUGGCUUAGAAGCAGCCAUCAUUUAAAGAAAGCGUAAUAGCUCACUGGUCGAGUCGGCCUGCGCGGAAGAUGUAACGGGGCUAAACCAUGCACCGAAGCUGCGGCAGCGACGCUUAUGCGUUGUUGGGUAGGGGAGCGUUCUGUAAGCCUGCGAAGGUGUGCUGUGAGGCAUGCUGGAGGUAUCAGAAGUGCGAAUGCUGACAUAAGUAACGAUAAAGGGGGUAAAAAGCCCGCUCGCCGGAAGACCAAGGGUUCCUGUCCAACGUUAAUCGGGGCAGGGUGAGUCGACCCCUAAGGCGAGGCCGAAAGGCGUAGUCGAUGGGAAACAGGUUAAUAU
rnacentral:rRNA from 1 species